CUACCUGACGUAUUACAAAAUAGGAGGAAUUCCACAAGUUUGGGAAUCUUAACUCAGACUGAAGCUUUUGCCCUCUUCCUAUUUGACUGCAGUGACCCAGUCUCAAGGCAAUGGGGCAGCUCAAAUGAGAUGGAGACAUCGAGAACUCCUCAGCUGGAGCAGAUGUGGCUGUUAUUGGAGGUGUGAUUGCUGCAGUGGUAUUUGUCCUCAUUUGCCUACUGGUUGUGAUGGUCCGGUACAUGUACAGGCAUAAG